UGGGGAAUAUUGGACAAUGGGCGCAAGCCUGAUCCAGCCAUGCCGCGUGAGUGAUGAAGGCCUUCGGGUUGUAAAGCUCUUUUGGCGGGGACGAUGAUGACGGUACCCGCAGAAUAAGCCCCGGCAAACUUCGUGCCAGCAGCCGCGGUAAGACGAAGGGGGCAAGCGUUGUUCGGAAUUACUGGGCGUAAAGGGCGCGUAGGCGGCCGCUUUAGUCAGGUGUGAAAGCCCUGGGCUCAACCUGGGAAUU
rnacentral:rRNA from 1 species